CCUACGGGUGACAGCAGUGAGGAAUAUUGGUCAAUGGGCGCGAGCCUGAACCAGCCAAGUAGCGUGAAGGAUGACUGCCCUAUGGGUUGUAAACUUCUUUUAUAUGGGAAUAAAGUGCAGUAUGUAUACUGCUUUGUAUGUACCUUAUGAAUAAGGAUCGGCUAACUCCGUGCCAGCAGCCGCGGUAAUACGGAGGAUCCGAGCGUUAUCCGGAUUUAUUGGGUUUAAAGGGAGCGUAGGUGGGUUGUUAAGUCAGUUGUGAAAGUUUGCGGCUCAACCGUAAAAUUGCAAUUGAUACUGGGAGUCUUGAGUACAGUUGAGGUAGGCGGAAUUCGUGGUGUAGCGGUGAAAUGCUUAGAUAUCACGAAGAACCCCGAUUGCGAAGGCAGCUUACUAAACUGUGACUGACAUUGAUGCUCGAAAGUGUGGGUAUCAAACAGGAUUAGAUACCCUAGUAGUC
rnacentral:rRNA from 1 species